GACGAACGCUGGCGGCGUGCUUAGCACAUGCAAGUCGAACGGAAAGGCCCUGCUUUUGUGGGGUGCUCGAGUGGCGAACGGGUGAGUAACACGUGAGUAACCUGCCCUUGACUUUGGGAUAACUUCAGGAAACUGGGGCUAAUACCGGAUAGGAGCUCCUGCUGCAUGGUGGGGGUUGGAAAGUUUCGGCGGUUGGGGAUGGUCUCGCGGGUUAUCAGCUUGUUGGUGGGGUAGUUGCUUACCAAGGCUUUGACGGGUAGCCGGCCUGAGAGGGUGACCGGCCACAUUGGGACUGAGAUACGGCCCAGACUCCUACGGGAGGCAGCAGUGGGGAAUAUUGCACAAUGGGCGGAAGCCGGAUGCAGCAACGCCGCGUGCGGGAUGACGGCCUUCGGGUUGUAAACCGCUUUCGCCUGUGACGAAGCGUGAGUGACGGUAAUGGGUAAAGAAGCACCGGCUAACUACGUG
rnacentral:rRNA from 1 species